rnacentral:rRNA from 1 species
UCAAGUAGCUGGUGAAAUCUGGUGGCUCAACCAUUCAGACUGUUAGCUAAACUGGGACACUCGAGAGCGUCAGGGGUGACUGGAAUUUCUAGUGUAGGAGUGAAAUCCGUAGAUAUUAGAAGGAACACCGAUAGCGUAGGCAGGUCACUAGGGCGUUUCUGACACUAAGGCACGAAAGCGUAGGGAGCAAACGGGAUUAGAUACCCCGGUAGUCUACGCCGUAAACGAUGGAUGCUA